ACAACAAGCCUGUGGAUUAUCACUACACAGCAACAAAAUAAAAAGUAAAGGGAGGAACAUAAACCAGGAAUCAGCCUCCUGUAUACAACCCAUAAGGACUGCUCCUCACUUCAUCCAGUAAUGCCACUGUGUCGGGAUGAUCUGGAGAUUCUGUCAAAUGCCGGAUAAGCAGAUUCCUCUUGUGAAUUAUCCCAUCCAGUUCGUUG
rnacentral:lncRNA from 1 species